AAUGCUUUAAAAACAUAAAAUAAGCUUUAUCAUUCUUAGCCAAUUACAUCAAGAUAAUAUAAUUACUCUAAGACUACUUUUGGCAUUAACAUAACUAGAAUGCACAUACAACCUAUUAUUAUUACAUAAAGAGAAAUAUUAUGCCGCAGCAGACUAUAACACAAGCUAUUUCUUCCUAACACCCCACAGCAGCAACACUUGGGCUGCAAAACAAAAAAGGCUGUCCUAACGAUGCCUCCGAGAAAGAAAAUGACACUCAAACGUGCUGCCAUUGCCAUGACCGAACCUGUAAAGGCCAAAACAUAUGUUUCUCCUUCAUUAGAGAGCAAAUCUUUGACUCUAGGCAGUGCCUUCAACAUGGAAGGGAAACACCAUUGGCAGGAACAACCAGCUAAGGGCUGUCCUAGGAAAAGAUGAUUUGUAGAGGCAUGAUAUAUUUUCAUAUGCUUAUAAUAUCUUUUCAUAUUAUCUUUUCAUUAUGUGUCCCAUGGAGCUCCUUAUCUACCGAUUUGCAAAAUAGGCUAUAUUUUAUAGAUAUUUGGUUGUUAAACCUCGAGGCAUUUUGUGGACCUCAGUUUCCGUUUGAGGUGUAGCCUUAUCAGCCUCAACCUGCUUCAGUUACUUUGAGGCAGAGAUAAUCUUUUGAGGCAGUGUUCUCUGCCACAAUAGACAAUUUGGGGCAAGAGUAUCUGAGACAUGGGGAGGCUAUCUCGUAAUCUCUUUUGAGAUAGACUUUGAGGCUGAUUUGGUUGCUUUGUUAUAAAAACGGCCCAGAAAUCACAUCGGAAACCAAAUCGCGGAAGAAAACGCCAUAGGAGAUCCAAACAUGAUGACGACACCGAGGUACGAUAUUUGAUAAUGGAGUUCAGCCGAGGCAUACAUCUUCGGGGCACUGAUUACGGGCACUCCUUCCCGAUCCAGUAUAUUAGAGCGUAUCAAAGUUAUAACGACUCACGGCUGGUCGCCGCCGGCAGCCACUCCCUCUCGCUAUGCUAAAUCGCCAUGCGGUUACAACAGGCAUGCUCCUCUAUUUAUGAGAGAUCCUAGGAUAGACUCCGACUCAUACUCGAGUCCUAAUACCUAUUACAACUCCAAGUCCUAAAUUGUAACCGACUUUGUAUACAUAUUCGACAUAAACUCUAACAUGUUUCAUGUUGUCUAUGAUCCUGUAGUGCUUUUCUGUUGUGGCAUGCUAAUUUUCUAGUCCAACAUACGGAGUCUCGCUCCGGUGCUUUCUACUUGGAGUAGAAACUAAUUUGAGUCGUUGAUCAUAUCUAAUUGUAGGAUUGAGAUCUAUUUCUACUCCCACCAGAGUUAGUGGUAAUAUAUAUGUGGAGGGGUAUAUUCGUCCAAGGAUCAUAAUUCGCGUAGGGGUAUUAUGUAAUUUAUCAGUAUCGACGCCAUUCCCAUCCAUCCCCGCCUCUGUUGCCGUCCAUCUCCCUCGUCGCCUCCGUCUUCCAUCCUAGCGUCUCCUCCCCCUCCAGCACCGUCCCCUUCUCCGCUCCCUCCGUCGAAGCUCGUCUCCACGCCGCCUUGUGAGCCCCCUCCGUUGCCGUCAUCCUCCCCCACCCCCUUCUUCAGCGAGUUGCCUCACAUCGUCGCGCCUCCACCUGCCACCGCCGCCACAUUCUCCUCGCCAUCAGCCUUCUCCGCCACAUCACCUCCACCUGCCACCGCCGCCACAUCCUUCUCCACUCCACCGCCGCCCCCUUCUCCACUCCCCUCGGUGAUCUCGCAUCUCCAUCCGGGAUCUCCAGAGCUCCGCCCUAUCCCGCCGCUACCCACGUCGACCCACCUUCUGCCGAGUUCCACCUCAGACCCUAGCACCGCGCCACUCACCGCCGCUGAGCCUUCGUCCUCCUCGCUAUCCCCUUCCUCGCCGUCGGCCACCUCCCCCACGCUCGGCUCUAGCCCCGUCCAUCUCCGCCCGCCGUUGCUCCCACAGCCACGUGGGAGAGCCCCCAAUCCAUCACCCCACAAGCGGAGGACGCAGCCUUUGGAUCCAAUGGCAGCGCACGCCUGGUUCCCCUUCGUCCCCAUGCCGCCUCAAGCACCUCCAUCGGAGCAGGAGGAAGACUCGCCAUUGGAGAAUAGCGGAAGGUAAUGCCCGGAAAUUUGCAGUAAGACGCGCUCCCCUAAUGCCUCCCCUCAACUUUCAAUCUCAAGUUGUUUUUUUUUUAAAUUUCGAUUUGAUUUCUGAGGCUACCGGUUUCCUGUUAAUCUGCAGCAUGAAGGAUGAGAUGAUCCAUCUAUAUCUGAACAACUCCACCAUGGCGUUGGCGAUCCUGAGAGAGGCAUGCUUGCUGGGUGCUCCGAGGUGCCAUGGCAUUGGGAUGCUAGUGGGAGCAUUCGGUAUUUGCAAGGAGCAAGUGCGCGAAGCCAUCUUGGAAGGUACGUGUGGCUGCUUCGUUGUAUCAAUUGGAUUUGGCGCGCAAUGUUGUGCUAUUGAAUUAUGAUGUCUAAAGUUGUCAUCUUUCUGAAUGAAACUAAUGUUCACCUGUUGUGGGGGCUUUAGAAUGGGUGGCUAUUACUAGUGGCUAUAUUUGCAUUGAAUUAUUAUGCCACCAUCAAUUAAUGACGAGUAGAUGAUGCAUGGUGCUUCUUUCCUUUGAACUCUGGUUGCCUUUUCACCAAUUAUAUUGCUCGUUUUGGUUCAGUAAAUGCACUGUUUAUUUCAGAACAAAACGGUUAAUGUUAACAGCAUUUUUACUUAUUUACUCUGAACCACCUGCUGAUCUUGUUUUUUGCUCCGUGAUUGUUGUACAUAUCAUGGUUAGCUAGCUGUAACAGUUUAUUUCUCAACUUGCCCUUUUGACAUAAGUGCUCAUGGAAUUUACUUGUUCCCAUGUGAUCAUCUGAUCUCUUAUAUGUAGUUGCCUCCUCUUUGUAUAAAGGAAAGAAACUUGAAUAAUUGUAAAAGGCAACAAAGGUUGAGACCAGUCAAAUAUUGAAGGGGUAAAUAAAUUGUUACUAAGGGCCUCACUUGAUGAAUAAAAGAUAGCAUGGUAUGGUAAUUGUCCUUUAUAGUAUUGUUUUGCAUGGCUGAUUUUAGCAUGAGAAAAACCCAUCCUCUUGGACAAAAAUCCAUUUAUAUCGUGGUUGGUACUUGGUAGCAGUGGACAGUCUUUAAUCUUGUUCAGUUUGGACUUGAUCAAAAUUCCUGCUAAGUCUUGUCGAAAUAUAUUCAUAUCUUGCUGCAUAAAGUAAAGGGAGAACAUUUUAUAUGAUUUUCAUAAUGGGAAGCUUUGGUGCAAAAUAUGAAUAGAGUUCAUUGUGGUUGCCUGAAAUCAUUGUAUUGAUGUCAGAAAUCAUUGUUGAUUCACACAGAUAAUAGACAGAAAAGGGAAUGAAUUGAGCAACCCAUAUACCAACGUUACAUGUCCUUCAGUUAUUGGAUCAACCACAGGAAGGUUAAAAAUAUUGACCAUAUAAGAGGAAUUUUGCUUAAGUUCUAAAAGAAUAUCUGAAUCACAUCGUAAUUCAUAAGGAAUUUCGCUUAAGUUCUAAUUAACUUUGGUUGAUCAUGUUGCCUGACUCACUACAUAAUAUUUGGAGUGUUAAUGCCAAUUCAUAUAGUGCUCUACUAUCACUAUUUUAGUAGUGCAUAUACUGUUAAUCAAAAUAAUUUCAUUUUGCAACUUGUAUAUAUAUCUCUACAUGAGGACUUUGCAAAGCAACAUCUCAGGGGCCUACAAUGAGUUGUUGCUCAGAUUCAGUUCCAAAAUGAGACACAGUUCUCACCAGGAUUACAGGUGACGGAACACUUUGUCGUGGCUACAUAGCACUUGCAUGCAGAGGGGUAGCAGCUUAUGAAGCCACCUCUUGUUUCAUCAGAGCCAGCAGGACGUUGCGGAGCUACCAGGUCUACUUCAGCAUGAGGAAGCAGUCAACCAACAAUAUCGGCAGCAAGCACAUGCUGGGAAUGAGACUGUGUUAAUCUUAUUAAAUCAAAAAAUUAGUUCAUGUUAUGCCAUUUAUUUAGUGUAAUUAUAGUUAUAUAUGUCCUGUUGUAUGCUUAUGCUGCCAUCGGCCAAUCUAUGCCGUUAGGAUAUGCAUGUAAGAACUCAGAAGCGGUGUAUCAAUCGAAAAUCGAUUGAUUUUUUUUCUCACAAAACAAGCAUAUGAUAGAUAAAUGAUCAAUUGAAAAUCGGUUGAAUUUUUUUCUCACAAAACAAGCAUAUGAUAGAUAAAUGGUCUCUGAUCUUU